GACGAACGCUGGCGGCGUGCCUAACACAUGCAAGUCGAACGGAGAUAUUAAUGAAGCUUGCGACUUGAUAUCUUAGUGGCGGACGGGUGAGUAACGCGUGGGUAAUCUGCCCAUAAGUGGGGAAUAACAGUUGGAAACGACUGCUAAUACCGCAUAUGGUGAGAAAUCAUUAAAGGUGGCCUCUGAAGAUGCUGCCGCUUAUGGAUGAGCCCGCGUCUGAUUAGCUAGUUGGUGGGGUAAAGGCCUACCAGGGCGACGAUCAGUAGCCGGCCUGAGAGGGGAGACGGCCACAUUGGGGCUGGAACACGGCCCAAACUCCUACGGGAGGCAGCAGUGGGGAACAUUGCGCAAUAGGGGAAACCCUGACGCAGCGACGCGGCGUGGGCGCUUAAGGCCUUAGGGUUGUAAAGCUCUGUUUUAAGGGACGAAUGUUACUGUGCGUAAUAUGCGCGGUAAAUGACGGUACCUUAAGAGGAAUCCCCGGCUAACUCCGUGCCAGCCGCCGCAGUAA
rnacentral:rRNA from 1 species